rnacentral:rRNA from 1 species
ACACGACUACAUUAGAUACCCGGGUAGUCCUAGCCGUAAACGAUACUCGCUAGGUGUCGGCCACGGUGCGACCGUUGUCGGUGCCGUAGGGAAGCCGUGAAGCGAGCCACCUGGGAAGUACGGCCGCAAGGCUGAAACUUAAAGGAAUUGGCGGGGUAGCACAACAACGGGUGGAGCUUGCGGUUUAAUUGGAUUCAACGCCGGAAAUCUUACCGGGACCGACAGCAACAUGAAGGCCAAGCUGAAGACUUUGCCGGAUUAGCUG